rnacentral:rRNA from 1 species
AUUGAACGCUGGCGGCAGGCUUAACACAUGCAAGUCGAACGAUGAUUAUCUAGCUUGCUAGAUAUGAUUAGUGGCGGACGGGUGAGUAACAUUUAGGAAUCUGCCUAGUAGUGGGGGAUAGCUCGGGGAAACUCGAAUUAAUACCGCAUACGACCUACGGGUGAAAGGGGGCGCAAGCUCUUGCUAUUAGAUGAGCCUAAAUCAGAUUAGCUAGUUGGUGGGGUAAAGGCCACCAAGGCGACGAUCUGUAACUGGUCUGAGAGGAUGAUCAGUCACACCGGAACUGAGACACGGUCCGGACUCCUACGGGAGGCAGCAGUGGGGAAUAUUGGACAAUGGGGGCAACCCUGAUCCAGCCAUGCCGCGUGUGUGAAGAAGGCCUUUUGGUUGUAAAGCACUUUAAGCAGGGAGGAGAGGCUAAUGGUUAAUACCCAUUAGAUUAGACGUUACCUGCAGAAUAAGCACCGGCUAACUCUGUGCCAGCAGCCGCGGUAAUACAGAGGGUGCGAGCGUUAAUCGGAAUUACUGGGCGUAAAGCGAGUGUAGGUGGCUCAUUAAGUCACAUGUGAAAUCCCCGGGCUUAACCUGGGAACUGCAUGUGAUACUGGUGGUGCUAGAAUAUGUGAGAGGGAAGUAGAAUUCCAGGUGUAGCGGUGAAAUGCGUAGAGAUCUGGAGGAAUACCGAUGGCGAAGGCAGCUUCCUGGCAUAAUAUUGACACUGAGAUUCGAAAGCGUGGGUAGCAAACAGGAUUAGAUACCCUGGUAGUCCACGCCGUAAACGAUGUCUACUAGCCGUUGGGGUCCUUGAGACUUUAGUGGCGCAGUUAACGCGAUAAGUAGACCGCCUGGGGAGUACGGCCGCAAGGUUAAAACUCAAAUGAAUUGACGGGGGCCCGCACAAGCGGUGGAGCAUGUGGUUUAAUUCGAUGCAACGCGAAGAACCUUACCUGGUCUUGACAUAGUGAGAAUCCUGUAGAGAUGCGGGAGUGCCUUCGGGAAUUCACAUACAGGUGCUGCAUGGCUGUCGUCAGCUCGUGUCGUGAGAUGUUGGGUUAAGUCCCGCAACGAGCGCAACCCUUUUCCUUAUUUGCCAGCGGGUUAAGCCGGGAACUUUAAGGAUACUGCCAGUGACAAACUGGAGGAAGGCGGGGACGACGUCAAGUCAUCAUGGCCCUUACGACCAGGGCUACACACGUGCUACAAUGGUAGGUACAGAGGGUUGCUACACAGCGAUGUGAUGCUAAUCUCAAAAAGCCUAUCGUAGUCCGGAUUGGAGUCUGCAACUCGACUCCAUGAAGUCGGAAUCGCUAGUAAUCGCGGAUCAGAAUGCUGCGGUGAAUACGUUCCCGGGCCU